UACAGAGGUGCCAAGCGUCAGGCGGAAUCACUGGGCUUAAAGCGUGUGUAGGCGGAUUGACAAGUACCUUGUGAAAUCCCACGGCUCAACCGUGGAACUGCUGGGUAUACUGUCGAUCUUGAGGCAUCUAGAGGCAACUGGAACAAACGGUGGAGCGGUGAAAUGCGUAGAUAUCGUUUGGAACGCCCAUGGUGAAAACAGGUUGCUGGGGAUGUACUGACGCUGAGACACGAAAGCCAGGGGAGCAAACGGG
rnacentral:rRNA from 1 species